CAAUCACUUGUCUUUUAAAUGGAGACCUGUAUGAAUGGCAUAACGAGGGCUUAACUGUCUCCUUUUUCAGGUCAAUGAAAUUGAUCUCCCCGUGCAGAAGCGGGGAUAAAGACAUAAGACGAGAAGACCCUGUGGAGCUUUAGACACUAAGGCAGACCAUGGUNAAUAACCCUAGACAAAAGGCUAAAACAAGAUGACCCCUGCCCGCAUGUUUUUGGUUGGGGCGACCGUGGGGGAAAAAAUAACCCCCAUGCGGACCGGGAGGACUUCUCCUAGAAGCAAGAACCACAGUUCUAACUAACAGAACUUCUGACCUAUAAGAUCCGGCUGACGCCGAUCAACGGACCGAGUUACCCCAGGGAUAACAGCGCAAUCCCCUUUGAGAGCCCC
rnacentral:rRNA from 1 species